UACGGGGGGGGCAAGCGUUGUUCGGAAUUACUGGGCGUAAAGGGCUCGUAGGUGGCCAAUUAAGUCAGGCGUGAAAUCCCCGGGCUCAACCCGGGAACUGCGUCCGAUACUGGAAGGCUUGAAUCCGGGAGAGGGAUGCGGAAUUCCAGGUGUAGCGGUGAAAUGCGUAGAUAUCUGGAGGAACACCGGUGGCGAAGGCGGCAUCCUGGACCGGCAUUGACGCUGAGGCGCGAAAGCCAGGGGAGCAAACGGG
rnacentral:rRNA from 1 species